GACAGAGGGGGCAAGCGUUGCUCGGAAUCACUGGGCGUAAAGGGCGCGUAGGCGGGAUGGCAAGUCGGUCGUGAAAUCCUUCGGCUCAACCGAAGAACGUCGGCCGAUACUGCCGUUCUUGAGGGAUGCAGAGGAGAUUGGAAUUCCCGGUGUAGCGGUGAAAUGUGUAGAGAUCGGGAGGAACACCGGUGGCGAAGGCGGGUCUCUGGGCAUCUCCUGACGCUGAGGCGCGAAAGCGGUGGGGAGCAAACGGG
rnacentral:rRNA from 1 species